GUGAGAGAGAAAAAGAAAAAAGAAAAAAGAAGAAGCUGAACCAUGUCUACUAUCCUGGGUACCAUUUUUCAUAUUUAUUUGGUGGGUUGUUUGCAGGAAGGAGUUCAGCAGCUUGUACUAGGCCUAUACAUCAUAAGGGGUGAUAACAUAAGUGUUGUUGGAGAGUUAGAUGAAGAGCUCGACUCAAAUCUGAACUUGUCGGACCUUCGAGCACACCCCCUCAAGCUCGUAAUACACUGCUGUCGUCAAUGUAUGACCAUGUCUGGCUUAGAUUCCUUCAGUUGAGCUGUGUUUAGAUGUGCUAUUAAAUUGAACUGCAAUAAUUAGUUCAAUAAAGUGGAAAUGAUCAAAUCACGAAUACACUACUAAUUGUACUGAUGGGUGAGGCUUAAGUUGCUAUUAUGUCACUUUCAAGUUGAAUAUGGGGAUUUUAGUGCAAUCUGAGGCUACUUUCUCAUUACCAAAACUACAAUUUGUUCAUUUCCUCAAUAGAAGUAAUUAUUGCAAAUCAGUUCACUGGUGCAUCCAAUGCAGUGCUAAUCCUAGUAAGAAACGUUUAUUGAAGCUUCUCAUGUGUGCAGUCUCUGGUGAUCCGGAUUUGGGCACUAGUAACACAAGUAUAACACAAGUAUCAUUUGGACCA